GCAAUCCGACCCCGAGUCGGCAAUCUCUCGACAACAACAGACUGUUCCUCUGAGGCACGCCGCGGCCCCCUGCUCCACUACUCCCUGCAACGGCCGUAUCCGGCGCUGCCCCACGAUCUCCUGUAACAGCCGUACAAAGCGGAGCUCCACUAUGCCCUGCCAUGGCUGUACCCAGCGCUGCCCCACGACGCCCUGUAACGGCCAUG
rnacentral:lncRNA from 1 species